rfam:Loxodonta africana unplaced genomic scaffold scaffold_23, whole genome shotgun sequence.
AAGCUCCGCGAACUGCCCUUUGCUAGAAGUAAUUUUUGGCGAUUUUUUAAUGAUUUUUCGGCGAAGUCUUAGUGGCGCUAUACUCUCGGACAGGUUAUCCCGUCUCUCCCGCUAGAUUGAUGAGAUCAGGCAUC